AUGGGCAAAGGCGAUCCUAAAAAGCCGAGAGGCAGAAUGUCAUCACAGGCAUCCUUUGUGCAAACUGGCCAGGAGGAGCACAAGAAGCAGCACCCAGAUGGUUCCGUCAGCUUCUCAGAGCCUUCUAAGAAGUGCUCAGGGAAGUGGAAGGUCACGUCAGCUAAAGAGAAAGCAAAAUCUGAGGACAUGGCACAGGCAGACCAGGCCUGUGAAAUGAAAGCGAAAUGAAACCUACAUCCCUCCCAAAGGAGAAAUAAAAAAGAAGCUCCGGGAUCCCAAUGCAUUCAAGAGGCCUCCUUCGGCCUUUUUCUUGUUCUGGACUCCAACAUUAAAGGAGAACAUCCUGGUGUGUCCAUUGGUGAUGUUGUAAAGAAACAGAGAGGUGUAGAAUAACAGUGCUGCUGGUGAAAGGCAAUCUUGUAAAAAGAAGACUGCAAAGCUGAAGGAAAAAUACAAAAACGAUAUUGCUUAUUGCUGCAUACUCAGCUAAAGGAAAACUGGAUGCAGCAGGAAAAAAAAGAGUCAUCACGACUGAAAAAAGCAAAGAAGGAAGAGGAGGAAGAUGAAAAGGAUGAUGAGGAGGAGGAAGAUGAAGAAGAUGAUGAUG
rnacentral:lncRNA from 1 species